rnacentral:tRNA from 7 species
GGAGAGGUCGCAUAGUGGCCUAGUGCGCACCCUUGGAAAGGGUGUGUGGGGCAACCCACCGGGAGUUCGAAUCUCCCUCUCUCCGCCA